rnacentral:rRNA from 1 species
GACGAACGCUGGCGGCGUGCUUAACACAUGCAAGUCGAACGGCAAGGCCCUGCUUUUGUGGGGUGCUCGAGUGGCGAACGGGUGAGUAACACGUGAGUAACCUGCCCUUCACUUUGGGAUAACUUCAGGAAACUGGGGCUAAUACCGGAUAGGAGCUCCCGCUGCAUUGAGGGGGUUGGAAAGUCUCGGCGGUUGGGGAUGGAUUCGCGGCUUAUGAGCUUGUUGGUGGGGGAGUGGCUGACCCAGGCUUUGGCCGGUCGCCGGCCUGGGAGGGUGACCGGCCACAUGGGGACUAAGGUACGGCCCAGACGGCAAUAGGAGGCAGUGGGGGGAAACAUUGUACAAUGAGCGGGAGCGUGAGGCGAAAACGCCGGGUGCGGGAUGCCGGUCUGUGGGGUGAGAACCGCUUUCGCCUGUGACGAAGCGGGAGUGACGGUAAUGAGUAAAGAAGCACCGGCUAACUACGUG